rnacentral:sRNA from 1 species
UUCUCAACUUAUUUUUAGUUGACCUAAGUGUCCAUUACGGUUUUUAACUUAAAGUUCCAGUGUUCCAUAAUUUUUCUUUCCCCCUUGGUUGCCAAUGUAACUAAUUUGGUAUUUCUGGCUUCCUUGAAGGGAGACUAUGGCAUUCACUUUUAUAAUCUUCUCUGUAACUGUUUACAACUUUUCUAUAACUCUUUUAAACAGUUCCAUACUACUUUAGUACUAGUGAAUACAUAUGGAAUGAAGCUUUUGUUUUUUAAUUCUAUCACUUACAGGACUGUAACUCUUGACCAGGCAACAGAUAAUGCAAAAAUAAUUGGAAAGGCGAUGCUAAACAUGUUUCAUACAAUGAAACUAAAUAUAUCAGAUAUGAGAGGGGUUGGGAUUCACGUCAAUCAGUUGGUUCCAACUAAUCUGAACCCUUCCACAUGUCCCAGUCGCCCAUCAGUUCAGUCACGCCACUUUCCUAGUGGGUCAUACUCUGUCCGUGAUGUCUUCCAAGUUCAGAAAGCUAAGAAAUCCACCGAAGAGGAGCACAAAGAAGUAUUUCGGGCUGCUGUGGAUCUG